AAAGAGAUAAUUAAUUAUAAAAGUUAUUGUGGCAUAAAUAUUUUACAUAAUUAAUUUGAAAUGAAAUGUUAAUCGUUUUUAAAGAUAUCUAGUUUUUUUAGAAAAAAAUUUAAUUUAUUUUUCUUUUUAAAUUUUUUUAAUUAAUUAAAAAAAUUUAAAAAGAAAAAUUAUAUUUUAAGGGAUAAGCUUUAAAUUAAAUUUUUAUAAUUAUUAUUUAAUUGUUAAUAAAAUUUUUAGAAUUUAUAUUGUUUAUAAUUUUUAUUUUAUUAUAAAUAAUUUUAUUAAUUAAUAAAAUUUUUUAAUAAUUUAAUUUUUUAUAAAGAAAAAUUAUUUAAUUAAAAAUUAAUUAUUAUAAUGAUAAAAUUAGUAUUUAAAAAAAAAUAUUAUAAAUUAAAAAAAAAAAUGAAUUUAAGGAAUUCGGCAAAUUUUUAUAUUCACUUGUUUAUCAAAAACAUGUCUUUUUGAAAAUAAUUUAAAGUCUAAUCUGCCCACUGAUAAAUUAUUAAAGGGCUGCAGUAUAUUGACUGUACAAAGGUAGCAUAAUCAAUAGUCUCUUAAUUGGUGACUUGUAUGAAAGAUUGGAUGAAAUAUAAACUGUCUCAAAUUUAAAUUAAAGAAAUUAAUUUUUUGAUUAAAAAGUCAAAAUAAUUUUAAAAGACGAGAAGACCCUAUAGAGUUUUAUAAUAUUUUUUAUUAAAAUUAUAUAUUAAAAUUAAUAAUUAAAAUUAAAAAUAUUAUUUUGUUGGGGUGAUAAAAAAAUAAGAAUAACUUUUUUUAAAAAAAAAUCAUAAAUAAGUGAAUAAAUGAUCCAAAAAUAUUUUGAUUAAAAGAAAAAAUUACCUUAGGGAUAACAGCGUAAUUUUUUUUUUUAGUUCAUAUAAAAAAAAGAGUUUGCGACCUCGAUGUUGGAUUAAGAUAAAAUUUAUAUGCAAAAGUAUAAAAUUUUG
rnacentral:rRNA from 1 species